UUUGUUGUUAAAUAUUAUAGACUUGGAUUAAUAUUUUUAUUUUAUGUUUUAGAAUUUUACUAAAUUUUUUAUUAAAUAUUUUUGUAUAAUUAUUGAUUUAUUGUAGAUAAAAACCCAAAAUAUAAUUUUCAUUUAUACUAAAUCCCAAUCAAUUAGACUCAAAUUAACCAAAUCAAUUACACGUAACCAAAUAAAUUAAUUAGACUCAAAUUAACCAACUCGAUUACACCCAAAUCAAUUAAUUACAUUCUAAUUAACCAAAUCAAUUUAUUAAUAGAUAGAGUCAGUUAUAGACAACUGUAAUUAGUUAAAUAAAAGUAGUAUAAAUAAGGUUGUAGACUCAUAGUAAUACUCAAUCGAUUCUAGUUAAAGUGAAUACAAUUCAGAUUCAAUAUGGUAUCGAGAGCAGGUGGUCUAACAGAGAAAACGCGAGUUUUUCUUGCGCUCCUCUGCUAGAACAGCAUCCUUCCGCUCAAGCAUUCAGCUCAGCUUCCGCAUCCGCAUCAAUUGCAACAGAAAUCACACUCCAGAUUUCUUCAAUCUUCAAAUCGACGAUUUCUGCACACAAUUUUCUUCAAUCACGAUUCCACAUCUGGCAUUAAAUCCGAUCUUUUCAAUCCGCGUCAGUCUUCUGCCAUUAAAUCGACGACGACGAUUUCACAAGAAAACCGCGAGUCUGCAGACGACGAUUCACGCCUAUUCUUGACGACGACGAUUUGCAGACGACGAUUCCGCGACCUUGACGACGACAAUCGGUGCCUCUGCUACUGUCGACGAUCGCUCCAGAUUUCUAUCAACGAUCGUCUACUCCAGACAACGACGAUCCUCCGCUCUAGAUCUGCUCAACGAUUUCCGGAUCCAGAUCAACGAUUUGCGGUCGAAAGCAACGAUUUCCAGAUCGAUAAGUUCUUUUCCUUUUGUUUUUCCAGAUCGACGAUUUAUGUUUUUCUUCCAGAUCGACUCUUGAUUUUUUCGAUUAAGUCAAAUCGACGACGAUAUACUCACACACUAGAUUCAGAUUCAAGAAUCAGUGUUGAGUUUGUUCUCACAUUUGGUUAUUGUGCAUUGUUGAGGACGACGAUUUCUUCUUCAAGAUUCAGUCAGUUUUCCAGAUCCAGCUUGAAUUUGUGUGUGGUUUGUUUUCACGGGUGAUUCAUGUGUCCAGACAACACAAGAUCAUCUCGACAAUUUCAGAGGAACGUUCAAAGAUAAAAUCAACAUCACCAGAUCAUCAGACAUAAUUUUCAUCGUGAGAAUCGUCCAAGAUCAUCACGUAGCACACAUUCCAGAUUCAUCAGAUUCACACCGAUCCAAGUUCAGUUAGUAAUUC
rnacentral:lncRNA from 1 species